AUGAAGAUGGCGACUUGCAUUCGUAAGGUGGCCUCGGAGGAGUUUGGAGUGUCCAGGGGAAGGAGAAGUGAAGAUAAAGAUACCUGGUGGUGGAAUGAUGAUGUCCAGAAGGCGAUUAAAGAGAAGAAAGAUUGCUUCAGACGCCUAUACAUGGAUAGGAGUGCAGACAACAUAGAGAAGUACAAGAUGGCGAAGAAGGCCGCAAAGCGAGCUGUUGGUGAAGCAAGGGGUUGGGCAUAUGAGGACCUCUACCAACGGUUAGGCACGGAAGGUGAAAGGGAGAUCUAUAAGAUGGCUAAGAUCCGUGAGAGGAAGACGAGGGAUAUUGGCCAAGUCAAAUGCAUCAAGGACGGAGCAGGCCAACUCUUGGUGAAGGAUGAGGAGAUUAAGCAUAGAUGGCGGGAGUACUUCGACAAGCUGUUCAAUGGGGAGAAUGAGAGUUCUACCAUUGAACUGGACGACUCCUUUGAUGAGACCAGCAUGCGUUUUGUGCGGCGAAUCCAGGAGUCUGAGGUGAAGGAGGCUUUAAAAGGGAUGAAAGGAGGCAAGGCGAUGGGCCCUGAUUGUAUCCCCAUUGAGGUGUGGAAAGGUCUUGGGGACAUAGCGAUAGUAUGGCUAACCAAGCUUUUCAACCUCAUUUUUCGGGCAAACAAGAUGCCAGAAGAAUGGAGACGGAGUAUAUUAGUACCAAUCUUCAAGAACAAGGGGGAUGUUCAGAGUUGUACUAAUUACCGUGGAAUUAAGCUGAUGAGCCAUACAAUGAAGCUAUGGGAGAGAGUCAUUGAGCACCGCUUAAGAAGAAUGACAAGCGUGACCAAAAAUCAGUUUGGUUUCAUGCCUGGGAGGUCGACCAUGGAAGCCUUUUUCUUGGUACGACAACUUAUGGAGAGAUAUAGGGAGCAAAAGAAUGACUUGCAUAUGGUGUUCAUUGACUUGGAGAAGGCCUAUGAUAAGAUACCACGGAAUGUCAUGUGGUGGGCCUUGGAGAAACACAAAGUCCCAGCAAAGUACAUUACCCUCAUCAAGGACAUGUACGAUAAUGUUGUGACAAGUGUUCGAACAAGUGAUGUCGACACCGAUGACUUCCCGAUUAAGAUAGGACUGCAUCAGGGGUCAGCUUUGAGCCCUUAUAUUUUUUGCAUUGGUGAUGGAUGA
rnacentral:rRNA from 1 species